rnacentral:rRNA from 1 species
AGAAUCAACGCUGGCGGCGUGCCUAACACAUGCAAGUCGAACGCGAAAGCCCCGCAAGGGGUAAGUAGAGUGGCAAACGGGUGAGUAACACGUGGGUGACCUGCCUUCGAGUGGGGGAUAACGUCCCGAAAGGGACGCUAAUACCGCAUGACAUCCUGCUCUUGGACGAGCGGAGAUCAAAGCUGGGGAUCGCAAGACCUGGCGCUUGAAGAGGGGCCCGCGCCUGAUUAGCUAGUUGGUGAGGUAACGGCUCACCAAGGCGACGAUC